rnacentral:lncRNA from 1 species
ACAGAAGACAAAGACUCACAGACAUGCACGAUACAAUACAUAAGCAUGAAAAAAAAUCACACAGUUCUGUUUGGAGACACAUGAGAAAUUGGGGUUUAACUUUAGUUGUGCAUUUAACUAUGUGGAAGAACUGGGAGGGAGAUCAUGCGAGCAUCCAGGAACUCUAACAUGGUUGACCAAAUAACAGCCCAUACUAGCUGGUCAGUCAACCUGAAAUUAGAUCACAAUCAAUGCAACGUGGCAGGUGAUCCACUAAGGAGAAAAAUAAGAGAGUAACCUUGCAAGGAGGAAAAUUACUCAUGGGAGACUCCACUUAGACAUUGUGCCAGCCUCCCUGUAGCCACCGAGUGAAACUUCCCAUUGAAGGCUUUUGAGGCAUCUUUCUAUAAAGAAGCAAAAUGAAGAAAUGAACAAUAGAAGCAGAAUAAUUCUGAUAUAUUUUUUAUUCCUAAUACCUGAAAUGUAGUAGGACAAUCAAUACAGAUAUGGAAUCGAUUUAUCUGACCCUACCCUCCCUUUCAGACUCAAAUUCACCACUCUCUAACUACCCUCCACACACACUUUCUCUCCGUUCUGGGUUCAGAUUAACUCUUUCACCAGGAAGCUCUCCUGGGUUCAAGGUAGUUCUUCUUCAUCAAAGAAAUAGACUAGCAUCCACAUACAGUCCCCCAAGCAGAUUUUACUAGGAUUUUCAGUAUCGUUAUUCAAGUCCCAUAGAACUGGGUCUGUCUCUUAUCCAUGCCCUUCACAAGGAUGAAAGAAGCACUGUUUGGUGCAUUUUCGCUAACGGUUUCUAUGUUGCUGAUUCUUUUCCUUGUCUCCCAAUUAUUCAUUCAAUUGCUGUCUGAAAACCCAGUGAACUGACGCCAGAAGUUGCUUCUCCAUCAUUCACCGACCUGCUGUCUAACAUGAGGCUAGUUUGUGACUGGUGCGAUUUUCCUACCUCAUUAGACAGAAAAUCAAAACUGCUUCCUGGUGACAAAGGUCAACACUUACCUGAAUACACAACAAAUAAAACGUAAACCCAUAGCUUGUGGGUCCCUAGACUGUUUUGUAUAGUCAGCAUCUAUGAAGACUGGCAUUCAAUACUUGUCAAAUCCCAUUUUCUUAGAUAAUUGGAUAUGGUAGACAGACACCAAGAUUUUGGAGUUUUUGCAACUGGAUUAGAAUUAAUGGUGAUUUUGACUAGAGUGUUCUUUUCCUGAUCGAUUUUAUUCUCACCCUCCCUAGCUCCUUGUCUCAAGAAGUCAGUUAGGGCCAACAAGGUGACUCAGUAAGUAAAAGCCCUUGCUACCAAGAUUGAAGACCUGAAUUUGAGCCUUGGUCAAGGAGAAAACUCUUCCCCAUGUAUUUUUCUCUAACAUCCGCAAAUAUGCUGAGGCAUCUACUUACACCUGCACAGACAUACAAACUUAUACAGAUACAUAUGCACAUAUGCACGCACACACAUACACACCAGGGCAAUACACAAAAUACAAUAUUUAAAAAAGAGAAGUCCAGCUAACUAACCUAAAACCGUAUUUUACAGUUCUUCAGAGAGAUUGUGGCAAAGAGCUACAGAGGAAGCUGGAGAGACAAAUAGUGUCUCAAAUUUUUUGUUCACAAUUGAAUUACCAUAACUAUGAAAAGGUUUAUCUUUCACUCAUUAUGUCCUACGUUCUUGUUCAGAUUUGCAUCUUUUGCUAUGAAUAUUGUGCUAAUUUAAUCAAUUAGGAAGAAUUUAGGGGAAAUCAUUACACAAUGGAUAUACAAGAAGCUGACUGGCUUUCCAUCAGAUCUGGAAUGAGAGUUCUCAAUGGAAGGUGUCAUUGCCGUAUGUCUGUGCCAUUAAAUGAUGUUUUAUUAUGAUUUUCAAUAUAUACUGAAAGGUGAUACAGUGCUAAACUAGCGUCUAACAUGUGAUAUGCUUGGUACAUAUUUUUGUUGGAUGGCUACACAAGAAAUAAACUUUUAUAUAAAAUGCAGAAUUUGGACUCCUCUUCUAAAAAUGGGGAAAUCUGCCUGUUGUGAUAACAAUCUAAGCCUCCUAAGGCUUACAUUUUACAUAGUCCACUUUUGUGUUCUCAAGUACUUGUGGGAUUAAUUAUCAUGUUAAAUCACUGAAAAGCCCUACACAAACCUGUGUGUACAUAUGGGAAAUUUCUGUAUGUCUAAAAGUGAAAUCUGAGUCACUGGCACACACAGUCAGCUUGUUCCAUCAUUUCCCAUGUGUUAGAUUUCUAAGGCAACUGAAAGAGAAGGAAGGCAGAAAAGAGAUCAGUCUGGCCUCAGCAGGCAGGACUAUUUAUGUCAAACUGCAAUGGGCACACACAGCAGGAAAGGGGUGUCUGCCAAGAGAAGGGGAACUUGGGGCUUAUAUAGGAGGUUUGGAAAAUUAAAUGCAACGGAUGGGGAAAUGUGCAAGCCUGCAGUUUCCCCCUUCUGGAGCUGUUUGUCCAGAUGAGGCUGUUUUGUCUUUGGAAGUCACUGUGCCAGAUAUAAGGAUGCAGGCCAUAGUGUAUAAUUGAGUCUCACAAUGGUGGUGAUGUGGUAGGGGCCAGAGUUUUCAAAACAGGGUCUUGAUCAGGGUCUAGCAGAGUUUGUUCAAAAUUUACUUUAACAGUAUGGCUCUUUCCAAAGAUUGUACUAAUUUACAUCCCUAUCACUGGGCUAAAAACUAAAUUCUUUAUUUACCUCUCCACCAAUAUUUGAUAUUAAUUCAAUUUCUGUUGUCAUUCUAUAAAAACAAAAUGCUAAUUGUUUGAUCUUAUAUUUCUGAAAUGGUGUAGGUUUUUGCUUUAUGUAAUUUUAUCCACAAAUUAUUAUGUUACUGUUUUUUAAUCUGUUUUCUAGAAAUUAGAUUGUCUUUGAAUCAUUUUGUUUGUUUUUUAAAAUCAGGAAAUAAGAUUCCAUGGAUGGGAAAAAAAUGUUGCAGAAAUUUUACUAUCUAGCAUCUCCAAUUGUAAAAUCAAUGCAAACAAAUC